UACAGAGGUCUCAAGCGUUGUUCGGAUUCAUUGGGCGUAAAGGGUGCGUAGGUGGCGCCGUAAGUCGGGUGUGAAAUUUCGGAGCUUAACUUCGAAACUGCAUUCGAUACUGUGGUGCUUGAGGACUGGAGAGGAGACUGGAAUUCAUGGUGUAGCAGUGAAAUGCGUAGAGAUCAUGAGGAAGACCGGUGGCGAAGGCGGGUCUCUGGGCCGAUACUGACGCUGAGGAGCGAAAGCGUGGGGAGCGAACAGG
rnacentral:rRNA from 1 species